UACGUAGGUGGCAAGCGUUGUCCGGAAUUAUUGGGCGUAAAGAGUGCGUAGGCGGUUUUCUAAGUUUGGUGUGAAAUCUCCCGGCUUAACUGGGAGGGUGCGCCGAAGACUGGAAGGCUUGAGUAUGGGAGAGGUAAGCGGAAUUCCUGGUGUAGCGGUGAAAUGCGUAGAUAUCAGGAGGAACACCUGCGGUGUAGACGGCUUACUGGACCAUAACUGACGCUGAGGCACGAAAGCGUGGGUAGCAAACAGG
rnacentral:rRNA from 1 species